AAUUAAGCUUGAAAAAAAGCAAACAAGCAAUGGCUGCUUCUUCUGCUAAUAAGUGUCGUCCCUUGGCUAAUUUUCACCCAACUGUUUGGGGAUAUCAUUUCCUUUCUUAUACUCAUGAAAUUACUAACCAAGAAAAAGUUGAAGUUGAUGAGUACAAAGAGACAAUUAGAA